UACAGAGGGCGCGAGCGUUGUCCGGAAUCACUGGGCGUAAAGGGCGCGUAGGUGGCCACCAUAAGGCCGCGGGUGAAAGUUCGGGGCUCAACCCCGGAUCGGCCGCGGCGACUGUGGGGCUCGGGUACUGUAGAGGCAGAUGGAAUUCCGGGUGUAGCGGUGGAAUGCGUAGAGAUCCGGAAGAACACCAGUGGCGAAGGCGGUCUGCUGGGCAGUGGGAUCGAAAGGUCCCUUUAACCGACACUGAGGCGCGACAGCGUGGGGAGCAAACAGG
rnacentral:rRNA from 1 species